rnacentral:rRNA from 1 species
UCCCGGUUAAAUCCACAUGCUCAACAUUUGGGCUGCCGGAAAAACUGCAUUGCUAGGGAGUGGGAGAGGUAGACGGUACUCGAUAGGAAGGGGUAAAAUCCUUUGAUCUAUCGAUGACCACCUGUGGCGAAGGCGGUCUACCAGAACACGUUCGACGGUGAGGGAUGAAAGCUGGGGGAGCAAACCGGAUUAGAUACCCGGGUAGUCCCAGCUGUAAACGAUGCAGACUCGGUGAUGCACUGGCUCUGGCCAGUGCAGUGCCGCAGGGAAGCCGUUAAGUUUGCCGCCUGGGAAGUACGUACGCAAGUAUGAAACUUAAAGGAAUUGGCGGGGGAGCACCACAAGGGGUGAAGCCUGCGGUUCAAUUGGAGUCAACGCCAGAAAUCUUACCCGGAGAGACAGCAGAAUGAAGGUCAAGUUGAAGACUUUACCAGACAAGCUGAGAAGUGGUGCAUGGCCGUCGCCAGCUCGUGCCGUGAGAUGUCCUGUUAAGUCAGGUAACGAGCGAGACCCUUGCCUCUAGUUGCCACCAUUGCUCUCUGGAGCAGUGGGGCGAAUUAGCGGGACCGCCGCAGUUAAUGUGGAGGAAGGAAAGGGCUACGGCAGGUCAGUAUGCCCCGAAACUCUGGGGCCACGCGGGCUGCAAUGGUAGCGACAAUGUGUUCCAACCCUAAGGGGGAGGUAAUCAUCAACGCUACCCAGUUAUGACUGAGGGCUGCCACUCGCCCUCACGAAUAUGGAAUCCCUAGUAACUGCGUGUCAUUACCGCGCGGUGAAUA